rnacentral:rRNA from 1 species
GCCCGCCCGUCCCCUCCUUCUGGAUUCCCGUUCCUGCUAUUGAGUUAGUGGGGACGUCACAGGGGGCCCAUCGUCGUGUCAUGCAAAUGGCACGGCGGUGAGUCCCUGGGGCCCAGAUCGUUUACCGUGAAAAAAUUAGAGUGUUCAAAGCAGGCAGAUCCAAUUUUCUGCCACCGAAUACAUUAGCAUGGGAUAAUGGAAUAGGACCCUGUCCUCCUAUUUUCAGUUGGUUUUGGCAGCGCGAGGACUAGGGUAAUGAUUAAUAGGGAUAGUUGGGGGCAUUAAUAUUUAAUUGUCAGAGGUGAAAUUCUUGGAUUUAUGAAAGAUUAACUUCUGCGAAAGCAUCUGCCAAGGAUGUUUUCAUUAAUCAAGAACGAAAGUUAGGGGAUCGAAGACGAUCAGAUACCGUCGUAGUCUUAACCAUAAACGAUGCCGACCAGCGAUUAGGAGACGUUGAAUACAAAACACCACCAUCGGCGCGGUCGUCCUUGGCGUGUCUCGGCUUCACGGCCGGGGCGCGCGAGGGCGGUUUAGCCCGGUGGCACCGGUGAAUGACUCCCCUAGCAGCUUGUGAGAAA